rnacentral:rRNA from 1 species
UACGGGGGGGGGCAAGCGUUGUUCGGAAUUACUGGGCGUAAAGGGCUCGUAGGCGGCCAACUAAGUCAGACGUGAAAUCCCUCGGCUUAACCGGGGAACUGCGUCUGAUACUGGAUGGCUUGAGAUUGGGAGAGGGAUGCAGAAUUCCAGGUGUAGCGGUGAAAUGCGUAGAUAUCUGGAGGAAUACCGGUGGCGAAGGCGGCAUCCUGGACCGACAUUGACGCUGAUGAGCGAAAGCUAGGGGAGCAAACGGG